CCUACGGGAGGCAGCAGUCGGGAAUAUUGCCCAAUGGUCGCAAGACUGAGGCAGCAACGCCGCGUGCGCGAUGAAGGCCUUCGGGUCGUAAAGCGCUUUUCGGGUGGAUGAGGAAGGACAGUACACCCGGAAUAAGGAACGGCUAACUACGUGCCAGCAGCCGCGGUAAAACGUAGGUUCCGAGCGUUAUCCGGAUUUACUGGGCGUAAAGCGCGUUCAGGCGGUUUGGCAAGUCGGGCAUGAAAUCUCUCGGCUCAACCGGGAGAGGUUGUCCGAUACUGCUGGACUUGAGGGCAGUAGAGGGUGGUGGAAUUCCGGGUGUAGUGGUGAAAUGCGUAGAUAUCCGGAGGAACACCAGUGGCGAAAGCGGCCACCUGGACUGUACCUGACGCUCAAACGCGAAAGCUAGGGGAGCGAACGGGAUUAGAAACCCCGGUAGUCCUAGCUAUAAACGAUGUUGACUAGGUGUCGACGGUCUAAACCCCGCCGGUGCCGGACGCAACGACAUAGUACACCGCCGUCGGACGUACGCGCAGUAACGUAAGUAAUAGAGCGNGAGANGCGAGCGACACAGGAGAG
rnacentral:rRNA from 1 species